GACGAACGCUGGCGGCGUGCCUAAUACAUGCAAGUCGACCUUACUGGCGAACGGUUGCUUAACACGUGGGUAACCUGCCCAUCAGACUGGUAUAACCCUUAGCAACUGGUGCUUAUACCGUCUAUUGAUUGAUGGUCCCGGGGUGGCUUAGCCAGUUGGUGAGGUAACGGCUCACCAAGGCCACGAUGCAUAGCUGGCCUGAGAGGGUGAUCAGCCACAUUGGGACUGAGACACGGCCCAAACUCCUACGGGAGGCAGCAGUGGGGAAUCUUCGGCAAUGGACGAAAGCCUGACGCAGCAACGCCGCGUGAGUGAAGAAGGUCUUCGGAUCGUAAAGCACUGUUGGUAGAGAAGCGGUAUCUAACGAGAAAGCAACGGCUAACUACGUGCCAGCAGCCGCGGUAAUUC
rnacentral:rRNA from 1 species